rnacentral:rRNA from 1 species
GACUGUGCAAAGGUAGCAAAAUAAUUUGUUUCUUAAUUAGAAACCGGAAUGAAUGGUCUGACGAGGAAAUACCUAUCUACAAAUUAAUUAAAAAUUAACAUAUAAGUCAAAAGGCUUACAUAUUUCAACAAGACGACAAGACCCUAUAAAACUUUACCUUUUAGGUAACAUACUUAGAAAUAAACCACGAAAGGUUUAACUGGGGCGGUAUUUAUACAAUUUAUAACUAUACUAAUAUAACCAUAUAUUUAUGAAACAAUAAAUCUUAUAUAAAACAUAAAAACAAGUUACUUUAGGGAUAACAGCACAAUACUUUUAAAGAGACCUUAUCGACAAAAGUGAUUGUGACCUCGAUGUUGAAUUGGGAAACCAUCUAAAAGCAGACAUUUAGAAAGAAAGUCUGUUCGACUUUUAAAUUCCCACAUGAUCUGA